ensembl:lncRNA
GUACAAGACAUUCCCUAACUCUCCAGCCAUGAAGAUCCUGGGCCUGGGUUUUAUUUUUCACUUUGCUAGUAACUAUCCAUCCAAGAAUGAAAGCAAAGACCAUCUGUCUUCUCUUUCUCACUGGACGUUCAAAACCAGAGCAGUUGGAGAAGAUGGAUUUUGGGCCCCGGCUCCUCCCUUGGCCGACACUACUGCCCCACCCCCACCCCUGGACUUUUACCUUCCCUGGUUUCUCUCUUUGUCCAUCUUAGCAUCUGUGCAGAAAAUCCUGUUUGUUUUCCCUCUUCACUCUACCCCUCACAGCCCAUGUGCAGUGUUUCUUCCUUUAAGAGCAUAAGGUUCUCAUUCUAAUUUGUGUCUGAAUCAUCAUGAGGAAAAGAUCAGAUGAAUAUCAUAUCGCUUUCAGGGUGUUCUCAUGUUCCCAUUCAACCUGCACCUUCCUCUUACUGCAUCUUGUCAUUACUCCCUCAUGCCAUAGCCUGCAACCCCAGAGCAAGUGGAAUAACCUGGGGUUGCUACCAUUCUUCUGUUUUCAUGGCUUUAUUAGAGAAAAGUAACUUUUGUGUGUGUGUGUGUGUGAGGCAGUGAGGUGAAGUGACUUCCCCAGGGUCACACAGCUAGUAAGUGUCAAGUGUGUGAGACCAAAUUUCAACUCAGGUCUUCCUGAAUCCGGGGCUGGUGUCUAUCCACUGCGCCACCUAGCUGCCCCCCAACAAGUAACUUUUAAAAAGCACCUUAAGAGGGAGUGAUAGCAUUAAUUGGUGCAGAGUUUUGCUUCUGUCCCAUGGUUGGAGAAACUGAUAUCCCAUCAGUUGGAUGGAGAAACAGAAAUUGAAUCCCAGAUUUUUUUGGCUCUUUUAGUCGACAGAUGUUUCAAAUUUCUAGCUUUAACUUUGGAUUAUUGAAGACCUUUUGCAUGCUCCUUGCUAUGGAGGAUAGAAAAGCAGGACUGUAUGGUAGAUAGAUUGGAGAGGGGAGAGACUGGAGUCAGGGAGACCAGUUAAGAGUCUGUUACAAGAGCCCAAAGGAGAGGUAAUGAGGGUUUGAGAUAGGACAAGCUGUGUGAGUGGAGAGAAGAGUAUGAUUUUUGUGGAAGGAGUAACAAGAUGGCACUUGAGGUACGUGUGGGACAGCCAGGUAGAGACAUUCAGGGAGCACUUUGUGAUAAAGUACUGAGGCUCAGGGGAAAGAUGAGGGCCAGAGAGGUCAAUUUUACAGAAAUAAUAGCUGAAGCUAUUGGAGCUAAUGAGAUCCCUGAGAAUGUAGAAAAAGAAGAGAGGAGGAUCCGAGAGAACAGAGUUGGGUAUAACCUAGGGAUAGGGACUGGGGCAUGGAUGAUGAUCCGCUAAAGGGGCUGAGUGCUGAAAAGGAGCAGUCAGGUAGGUAGAAGGAGAAUCAGAAGAGAGCAAGGUUGUGAAAAUUCGGGGAGGAGAGUGUCUGUGAGGAAGAAAUGUCAACAGGGCCAAAAGUCCUAUAGAGAUGAGUUAAGAAUAUAGCCUGGAGAAGAAAGUAUUUUUUUGGAAGUAUUUUAAAGAAAGUAUUCAUGAUACAUAGAUAUAAAUAUAUAUGCAUAUAUACAUCUAGAAAAGCAUAUAUAUAUAUAUAUAUACACACACAUAUAUGAGCAUGUAUAUAUAUAUAUAUGUAUAUAUAAUAUAUGUAUAUCCUUUCUUUUGUGUCUGAUUCCUUAGCUGUUUCUUCCAACAUAUUGUUUCUAGUCAAAUCCUAUGCUUGCAUUUAUAUUGGAGUCACUGAGUAUUAAGACAUAGGUAGAUUUAAUUUGGAAGUCUUCACUGAAUUCUUCAUAAAUUCCUCUACCUCGUUGUGCUCUGCACAGUUGUUGGCAAAUAAGUUGCAAUUAUUUUCAUGGUUGUUCAUUUUUUUGUUUUGUUUUUUACAAAUACUUAUCAUGAGCAUCACAAUACCAGAUGACUGAAUGUCUCAUACAAUGAUACAUACUUCUUGUUCACUUUGGAGACAUAACAAAACCAACUCCAUUAUUUGUGUUUUCGAAGAGAACUUGUGAGCCAUCCUUUUGUAUGGCUUCAGCUUCGUUGUAUCUUCCAUUUCAUUUAUGAUGAGAAUGUCGGUAUUGAUGUGAUUCAGUUCCUCCAGAAGUGUGUCACUUCACAAGUCCAUCACAUUCAGUGGUCAUUGGACACUUCGAGUCCUACAAAAUUAAUUUUUGUAGCUGGUCUGAAAACCAUCCUCUGGCCCCUUUGCUACCUCAUUACCGCCACAUUGCCACGUGGGGACACGUAGCACUGAGCAACAUUUUGUAUUUUUCUGUGCUUCAUGAGUUGCCAUGGCCAAAAAAUUCACACUCAGCAGCUAGUUUAUUGGUGAGAAGCCUGUCUAUAACCCCAGUACCUAGCAAAGUGUUUAGCCCACAGUAGGUACAUAACAUGUGCUUGUGGGUUGAUUAUUUGUUGUUGAUAAUACAUAUUGAUAAUAUAUUGUGAUUGGUUUUUGUUAUUAUUUGUUAAAUGUUUUAUCUUAUAGCCAUAUAUACGUGUGUCAUAUCCUCCUACUUGACUGAAAGUUCUAUUAAGCGGGAACCAAAUCUGACUAAAGCCCAGCACAGUGAUCUGUAUACAUUAAUAAAUAUUUAUUAUAUUGAGUUGAAUUAGAGGGG